GCAUUUUUUAACGGUAUACUACCUACCAAUACCGACUCUUAAUCAGUGGGUCCAAGGUUCGAGUCCUUGAGGGUGCA
rnacentral:tRNA from 1 species